CCUACGGGAGGCUGCAGUGGGGAAUAUUGGACAAUGGGCGAAAGCCUGAUCCAGCCAUGCCGCGUGUGUGAAGAAGGCCUUCGGGUUGUAAAGCACUUUCAGUGGGGAAGAAAGCCUUGGGGCUAAUACCCUCGAGGAAGGACAUCACCCACAGAAGAAGCACCGGCAAACUCCGUGCACAGCAGCCGCGGUAAUACGGAGGGUGCGAGCGUUAAUCGGAAUUACUGGGCGUAAAGCGCGCGUAGGCGGUCUGAUAAGCCGGUUGUGAAAGCCCCGGGCUCAACCUGGGAACGGCAUCCGGAACUGUCAGGCUAGAGUGCAGGAGAGGAAGGUAGAAUUCCCGGUGUAGCGGUGAAAUGCGUAGAGAUCGGGAGGAAUACCAGUGGCGAAGGCGGCCUUCUGGACUGACACUGACGCUGAGGUGCGAAAGCGUGGGUAGCAAACAGGAUUAGAUACCCGUGUAGUC
rnacentral:rRNA from 1 species